GCCGUGGCUUAGUGGUAGGGAAUCUGCUUUGAGUGCAGAAAGCCCCUCCUUCAAUCCCUGGCAUCUCCA